rnacentral:lncRNA from 1 species
AUUGUUUUAUAGAUGAAUGGAAUGAGACCUUCCAUUGUUGUUGUUGUUGUUGUUGUUGUUGUUGUACGUUGUUGUUUUGGUGUGUGAAGUUAAAGGGAAAUGAGAGGGUUUGUUAUGUAUUGGGUUUGAUCUUUUUUAUAGUUGGGGGAAACUACAAAAAGUUAUGAAAGUGGACUUGGUUUCCAUGUUGUUAAACUUUUUUGUAUUUCUGAAUUGUUUCUUAUUAUAUCGAUCUUUUAAAUAAUAUGAUGUAUGAAUAAGAGUGUUAAUUAAAUUUGUUACUAUAUAUUUUUGACUAAGUUUUAUUUUUAAAAAAUAAACUAAACGAACAGCUUGUUAUCUUUCCGGAAAAUAUAUAUAUAUGCGCUUCUUUUGGGUAUUAAUUUGAAGUAAGUUAUUGUG